CCCAAUUAAUUUGCUAAAAAUUACCUAACAAAUAGAUGUAAAAAUAAUACCAUGAACAUCUUCAUUUAUUGGGAAGAGGAUGGACAGGAUGGAGCUGAGACAAGUUAGGGGUUGGCCAUAAUCCAAAUUUUGAAAUAAGACAAUGAUUUCUAAAGUUGGCUGCUGAUUAAAAUCAUUCAAGUGACUUGAAAAAAUAUCCAAGAGAUUUCCCUUGGAGAUCCUGACUGAAUAUGCAUGACUGAGGAAUCUACAUUUUUAACAAGCAUCCAAAGGGACUAGGAUAAUCAGGUGGAGAAGUAUCCAAGGUACUCCCUGGGAUUUCUCUGGAAGAACCAAAGAAAAAAAAAACAUCCCUUUUAACCUAACUUUCCCCCCAUCACUACAAAUUAAGUACAAGGGGGUAAAUGAAAGAAAAGUUUACAGAGUUUUGAACAAUAAUUCCC
rnacentral:lncRNA from 1 species